UAUUGCCGACGGACGGCCCGAAAGUUUGAAGAUGAUCGAGGGCAGAUGGAUCGCUGAUCGCAGGAAUGAGCAUCGACUGGACUUGAGCCGGAUGUUUGGGAAUGCUGGAAGGCCUUGUUAUUCAUCCCUCUGCACUGAGCAAGGAAAAAAGUUACGGAAAAAUCCACUGUCAGCCCAGCACCUGCCCAGCACCAGAUUGCGGACAGACAAAGGGACGAGCUACCGAUGAAGGUCAAAUGUCAAGAGCAACAAUUUUUUUCUCAGGAGUUUUUCUCAGAAAGCUAGGGAACAUUGGACUAAAAGGAAUAGUUGGUGGUUGGUAAAUACACAAUUUGCCUUUUUUGCCAAAAGUUAGAUGAAAAGAUUGUUACCACUCUCAUGUAUGGUAAAUAUGGAGAUACCGUUAGUGUAGCACAAACUUUUGCUGGCCUGACAGAGACAAAUCUGCCUGCUAGCACCAAUGAAGCUCAGUCGCUCAAUAAUAUGUUAAGUUGUUUGCAUAGUCGAUACAAAGACCAAGUGCAAAAAACAACAAAUGUUGUUCCUCAGCCAGCAUCUUGGUUGGGAGAAGUAACUUCCUGUUGUCGUGUUCACUGACUUGAGAGCAAUAGUGAUCUUCCCAAACUCUUAGCCACAAAGUAAAUAAGUGUAUUUCCCAAAUUGUCAUACAAUUCCUCUGACAUUCUUCAAGAAAGAAACCAAAAACACAUGCUCAAUGUCUGCUGGCUGUAUGAAUAUUACUAUGUUUGCAGAUGUUGCAUUUACUUGUCCUUCUUCUUCCAAGUUACAAAUGAAAAACCAAUGAAAGCAGCUUCAAAAGAAGUCAUUUAAUAUUAUUUUAAAUCAUCAUAUUACCAAUGAUGGACCCUAUACCUGAAAUGGUUUUUAUCCCUGUCUUGGUACAACUGCUUCCAAUGAAAGUUCUCCUCUUUCUCUUUACUUUCUCCUUUUUGACCACCCCUCCUUUUUUCCACAUCUUUAUAUUUUUCUGGUUUUCUUAGCCAUGCCCCUCAUUGCUCCUCCACCCAUUGCCCCUGCACAGCUCUUAAAGUCCUUUUGAACCUCCUCCAGCAUAUUCUUUUUCUGUUCUAAGCGAGAAACAUUUCCCGUCUCUCCUUUGAUACAACUUCUCCAGCUACUCAACAUAUUUUAUCAUCAAAGUCUUCAAAUGGACCUCCCUCUAACCAUCAUUCUCUCUUUGGUUUCUAUCAUGUCUUUCUGCUCCCUCACAUUUUCUUUUUCUUUUCAUUUUACCCCAACCCUU